rnacentral:rRNA from 1 species
AGAGCGAACGCUGGCGGCAGGCCUAACACAUGCAAGUCGAGCGCCCGUAGCAAUACGGGAGCGGCAGACGGGAUAGUAACACGUGGGAACGCGCCCUUCGGUUCGGAAUAACUCAGGGAAACUUGAGCUAAUACCGGAUACGCCCUUACGGGGAAAGAUUUAUUGCCGAAGGAACGGCCCGCGUCCGAUUAGCUAGUUGGUGAGGUAAUGGCUCACCAAGGCGACGAUCGGUAGCUGGU